rnacentral:rRNA from 1 species
UACGAAGGGGGCUAGCGUUGCUCGGAAUUACUGGGCGUAAAGCGCACGUAGGCGGGUCGUUAAGUCAGGGGUGAAAUCCCGGAGCUCAACUCCGGAACUGCCUUUGAUACUGGCGAUCUAGAGGUCGAGAGAGGUGAGUGGAAUUCCGAGUGUAGAGGUGAAAUUCGUAGAUAUUCGGAAGAACACCAGUGGCGAAGGCGGCUCACUGGCUCGAUACUGACGCUGAGGUGCGAAAGCGUGGGGAGCAAACAGG